UGAAGAUCCGUCUUGCACGGAUUGAGGAGAGAUCAUGGCAAUACUGGGCAUUCCUAAAGGUUUGCUCGGUACUUUGUAUGCUCCUCUCCUGGACGUCUAUACCUCUGAAGGUGGGGCGUACCUAGAGCAUACACGUUGGGACCCGAAAGAUGGUGAACUAUGCCUGGUCACAACCAAAUCUUGGGAAACCCUGAUGGAGGUUCAUACGAUUCUGACGUGCAAAUCGAUCGUCGGAACUGGGUAUAGGGGCGAAAGACUAAUCGAACCAUCUAGUAGCUGGUUCCCUCCGAAGUUUCCCUCAGGAUAGCUGGCGCUUGAAAACCAGUCUCAUCCGGUAAAGCGAAUGAUUAGAGGCCUUGGGGCCGAAACGACCUCAACCUAUUCUCAAACUUUAAAUGGGUGAGAAGUCUGGCUUGCUUGAUCGAAGCUCGGACAUUUAAUUGGAUGGUGAGUGCCAAGUGGGCCACUCUUGGUAAGCAGAA
rnacentral:rRNA from 1 species